rnacentral:lncRNA from 1 species
CCAGACCCCAGAGCCUUACUGGUUGCGCCAGAAGAAAUGUCAGGAGAGAAUGCUUCUGGAACAUGUCAGGCAAGAGUUCUUUCUCCCACCCUGGACCUUCCACAGAUAUAUCAACCCCAGAUAUAUCAGAAAAGUGUAAGACACCCUUGCAGUGUAGCACAUUGUCCUUAUUCAUUUGAUUACAAUGUGUUGUUGAAGGCUUUCAUGGCAGGAAUCACUGGGUUGUGAGUUUUCCAGGUUGUAUGGCCAUAUUCCAGAAGCACUCUCUCCUGAUGUUUUGCCCACAUCUAUGGCAGGCAUCCUCAGAGCUCACAACCUCAGAGGAUGCCUGCCAUAGAUGAGGGCGAAAUGUCAGGAAAGAAUGCUCUGGAACAUGGCAAGCAAGAGUUCCUCCUCCCAACCUGGACCUUCCGCAGAUAUAUCAACCCCACUUACCUAGUUUCCAGCAGACCUCACAGACUCCCAACAAAGAAUUCCCCCAGGCAGGAAGCAGCCAGAUCUUGGAGAUGCAAGGCUAUUCAAUGCUCUUCAAGGCGAUCAAUUGCAAAAUUCACACUUGCCUUCAACAGGCAAGAGUUCUUUCUCCUACCCUGGACCUUCCACAGAUAUAUCAACUCCACUUGCCUAGUUUCCAGCAGACCUCACAACCCCUGAGGAUGCCUGCCAUAGAUGAGGGCGAAAUGUCAGGAGAGAAUGCUUCUGGAACAUGUCAAGCAAGAGUUUAUAUAUCUGUGGAAGAUCCAGGGUGGGAGAAAGAACUCUUGUCUGUUGGAGGCAAGUGGGGAUGCUGCAAUUAAUCACCUUGGUUAACAUUGAAUGGCCAUGCAGCUACAAGGCCUGGUUGCUUCCUGCUUGGGGGAUUUCUACCCCGCCACCAUCUCCACAAAGGGACUCGGGGCGGCCAACAAAAUAUAGUGAAAAACAGGGGGGGGGGACCACAGAAUUACCACCUUUGUUGGGAGGCCCUGAUUGUUUCAUGCCUGGAAUUCCCGUUUGCAGAAUGGUGUUCUUUAUUUACCAUCCUGAUUCUACAGUUUAA